UACAUUCCAAUACAUUUUGUUGACAUUAUCAAUAUCAACAACUAAAUGUCCAAUUUACAAUACAUUAUUUAACAACCAGCUAGAUAAAGUAUAUAUAAAUUCUCCACAUCCUAAAAAAUGAAUACUUUCUCUGUAUCUUUAACGAGAAAAUGGUUCUCAUUUUUAAAGACAGACCGAGACCGAGAAUGUAUUAAUUAACUACAUAAACGGCCAAAAGAAAAAAAAUGAGAAGAAGAAGAAGAAGAAGAAGAUUAGUGGUGCAAAUUAAUUAUGAAUAGGUGUUUUCUUCCGAGCUGGUGUAUAAUCCAUUUCAUUGACUGAAUCUCCUUCGAAGAAAGGUUCUUCUGAUUUCGUUCUCCCAUCCAAAUGAGCUCCGUUAGCUCCCUGGCCAUCUGUCCGAAUCCUUCGACCUGAUUAGCAACAAAUGAUAAUCUGACAACUUCAUGAAAUCAUGACUAGAAACUGAAAAAUUAUUUAAUUAGUUUUAAAAUAUGUUUUAAGGAAAAAAAUUGGGAAGUUUCUUUUAACUGAGUUUAAUUAUUUAUAAAAUGAAGAAUGUUGUGUUCUGGGUAGAAGUUUAAUUCAAUUACCUUCAAUGCCAAGUGAUAAGCCUGAAAUGUAGCAGAGGAAGAAAAGAGUGACCAAAAGGGCAACCUUGCAUGACACAACUGAUGACUUCAUGUCUUGUUGUAUAUAGAGCAAGCUAGAACAUAUAUUUCUGAUCAAGUUAUAACUUAUAUAUAUAUAUAUA
rnacentral:lncRNA from 1 species